rnacentral:rRNA from 1 species
UACGGGGGGAGCAAGCGUUGUUCGGAUUUACUGGGCGUAAAGGGCGCGUAGGCGGUCUGCUAAGUUGGAUGUGAAAACUCUGGGCUUAACCCAGAGCCUGCAUUCAAUACUGACAGGCUAGAGUUCUGGAGGGGAUAGCGGAAUUCCUGGUGUAGCGGUGAAAUGCGUAGAUAUCAGGAGGAACACCAGUGGCGAAGGCGAGUCUCUGGGAUGAUGCUGACGCUGAGGCGCGAAAGCCAGGGGAGCAAACGGG